GAUAUCCUACUUCAGAAGACAAAGAGGAGGCCACAUCAAGAGCCAUUCCCUGGAGUCACCCUGACUGUCCUUCGGUGAGAGAACUAAGUUCCAGAGGCAGAAACACACCUCUGGGUAGGUUUUCAUCUGAUGUUGUUGAACCCAGUAAAAGAUGAUGACAACUUGAAACAGAAAUGAAACUUUCUUGAAGUCACGGCCACUCCACCUCCACCCACGCAGCUGGAGUUUCCUGCUAACGUGAUGCUGGGGCAUCUAGAGGUCCUGGCCAACUGACAAAACAAUUUGCUCAUGAUGGUGGCUCCAUGACAAAGCGGAAAUCUCUUAUGGACUGCUGGGGCAGCAAAAAGCGUCCAAAGAACACAGCUUUGUGUUAUCGUAGCCGCAGGGAACAGUGGGAGUAGGAAUACCUUUAUUUUCCACUGUGAAUGCUCCAAAGAUGACAAACUCGGUGGGAAAUCCCAGUCCUAUAGAUACAUAUGUUUCUACUAUAAUCCUUUUCAGUCCUAAUCAAGGCCUACAUUAUCCAUGAGCUUAGCCACCUUGGAAAAGAAGAAAAACAAAACCCAGGUUGCAAAACCCUACACACAACUUGCUCUGGACAGCACUUCUCAGCGCUCUUGGGGAGAUAGGAAGCUUCGGAAAUGUUUGCACAAGCAGCCACAGGGCCGAGAGCUAGCAGGAAGCUCAGUGUUUCGGGGGUUGUUUUUUCCGUAGCUUAGUAGAGUUCAUUCUGAUUACCCUUUGGUCUGACGCAGGGUAAAGCCGUGAGGUCUGUGAAGUCAAUCCUUUUUAGAAGUUGAAGAUAAAGGACCCAGCGUACUGAUACACCUGAGUGUUUUCUGAUCUCUCCUGAAAUAAAAUCCAGAGGCAAAAAAAU